CACGGGGAGGUGGGCCCGGCAGAGGCGUCGCGUGUAGGCGAGCUUUUCAGAUCCUGCAGCCAGCAGUUCGGAGUCGACUGCAGCAGCCGAGCUUGAGAAAGGGCAAGUGCACCAGGUCUGAAUGGUGCGCUGCUGACCUGCCACCGAUAGACUCAUCAUGUUCCCUGGUUCGGAUCCCCGGUGCGGACAUAGGACCGCUUGGCAAGCCAUGCUGUGGACGCCUGCCACAACAUGGCUUGUCAAGUGGUGCCACGUCCGUACCUGGGAUCCGAACCAGUGAACCCCAGGCCUCCAAGAAGCAGAACGUGAG
rnacentral:lncRNA from 1 species